rnacentral:rRNA from 1 species
AUUGAACGCUGGCGGCAGGCCUAACACAUGCAAGUCGAACGAGUGGCGGACGGGUGAGUAAUGUCUGGGAAACUGCCCGAUGGAGGGGGAUAACUACUGGAAACGGUAGCUAAUACCGCAUACCAUCGGCUGUGCCCAGAUGGGAUUAGCUAGUUGGUGGGGUAAAGGCAUACCAAGGCAACGAGCCGUAGCUGGUUUGAGAGGACGAUCAGCCACACUGGGACUGAGACACGGCCCAGACUCCUACGGGAGGCAGCAGUGGGGAAUUUUGGACCAUGGAGGAAACCCUGAUCCAGCCAUGCCGCGUGUAUGAUGAAGGCCUUCGGGUUGUAAAGUACUUUUAGUAGAGAAGCGGUAUCUGCAGAAUAAGCACCGGCUAACUACGUGCCAGCAGCCGCGGUAAUUC